UAUUCUAUCACUGAGAAAUGGUCCUUCCCUUAUUCAGGGGCUUAUAGGAAUUGGAGCUAAAGGCAGCACAGCAAAGCAUUUAUUUUUAGCUGGAUUGUCCAUUUUGAGCAAAUUUCCAAGCUUAAGUGUGUUCUUCCUGCUUUCUUUCAGCCACGUGGGUUGGAGGAGCAUAUAUCAAUGGCACUGCUGAAAUUGUCUACCUGCCUUCAAGAGGACUCAUGUGGGUCCAGGCCCCAGCAGGAUUUGCUCUGUCUCUCCUUAUUGGUGGGCUCUUCUUUGUCAAUCCAAUGAGAUCGAAGAAGUACGUGACAAUGAUGGAUCCACUCCAAGAAACAUAUGGGAAUGUGAUGGCAAGCCUCAUGUUUAUUCCAUCGUUGAUAGGGGACAUAUUCUGGUUUGCAGCUAUUCUUGCUUCCUUAGGUGCAACCAUGCAGGUCAUUUUGGAUAUCCAUGGUAUUUUAGUCAUUAUUAUCUCUGCAUGCACGGUUAUAAUCUAUACUUUAUUAGGUGGCCUGUACUCGGUUGCAUAUACAGAUGUAAUACAGCUGGUCUUUAUAACAGUCAGCCUGGUAAGUCCCA